rnacentral:rRNA from 1 species
UGGGAAUUUUGGACAAUGGGCGCAAGCCUGAUCCAGCCAUGCCGCGUGCGGGAAGAAGGCCUUCGGGUUGUAAACCGCUUUUGUCAGGGAAGAAAUCUUCUGAGUUAAUACCUCGGGAGGAUGACGGUACCUGAAGAAUAAGCACCGGCUAACUACGUGCCAGCAGCCGCGGUAAUACGUAGGGUGCAAGCGUUAAUCGGAAUUACUGGGCGUAAAGCGUGCGCAGGCGGUUUUGUAAGACAGAGGUGAAAUCCCCGGGCUCAACCUGGGAACUGCCUUUGUGACUGCAAGGCUUGAGUGCGGCAGAGGGGGAUGGAAUUCCGCGUGUAGCAGUGAAAUGCGUAGAUAUGCGGAGGAACACCGAUGGCGAAGGCAAUCCCCUGGGCCUGCACUGACGCUCAUGCACGAAAGCGUGGGGAGCAAACAGGAUUAGAUACCCUGGUAGUCCACGCCCUAAACGAUGUCAACUGGUUGUUGGGAAGGUUCCUUCUCAGUAACGUAGCUAACGCGUGAAGUUGACCGCCUGGGGAGUGCGGCCGCAAGGUUGAAACUCAAAUGAAUUGACGGGGUCAUAGC